AAAACGACUCUCGGCAACGGAUAUCUCGGCUCUCGCAUCGAUGAAGAACGUAGCGAAAUGCGAUACUUGGUGUGAAUUGCAGAAUCCCGUGAACCAUCGAGUCUUUGAACGCAAGUUGCGCCCCAAGCCUUCUGGCCGAGGGCACAUCUGCCUGGGUGUCACAA
rnacentral:rRNA from 1 species